GUGCCAGCAGCCGCGGUAAUACGGGGGGGGCAAGCGUUGUUCGGAAUUACUGGGCGUAAAGGGCUCGUAGGCGGGCGAUAAAGUCAGGGGUGAAAUCUUUCGGCUCAACCGGAAAAGUGCCCCUGAUACUGAUUGUCUCGAGGGAGGUAGGGGCAUGUGGAACUUCCGGUGGAGCGGUGAAAUGCGUAGAUAUCGGAAGGAACGCCGGUGGCGAAAGCGACGUGCUGGAUCUCUUCUGACGCUGAGGCGCGAAAGCCAGGGGAGCGAACGGGAUUAGAAACCCGCGUAGUCC
rnacentral:rRNA from 1 species